GAAGACCUUCAUCCUCAGCGUGCUUCGCUGGUCCAUCUCUCCUUACUGCGCCCUCGUUCUUCUUCUCCGUUUGUCUUAACCCUCUUGCGAGAGGAUUGGAUGUCAUUACAACCAUAUCUGAGAUGUAGAGGCAAUUGUUAGCAUUGUGUUCUUCGCUUACGUUGAAGAUGGGAUGUCUUCAUCUUAGGUUGAUCCUGCCAUAAAUCUCCUUCUUCUCUCGCCCAAAAUAGAUUACCCUAAGGGCAAAAGUGAAAGAAGAUCGUCAUACUAAUCAGUUCAUUUUCACUUUAACAAAGAACAGAUGUGAGAAAAUGAGGAUACUGCAUGAUCACAUGUGUUGUUCUUAGUUUUAUAUAAGACCCGGGAUACUCCAUGACCACACAAUGCACUUCAAUUCUGACAAUGUGUUUUAUUUGUAGAUAGAAAUGGAUAAAUACUAUGUCGUAUUUGUGGGUAGAGUGCCAGAAAUAUAUGACAACUAGGAGGAUGCUCGGAAACAGGUUGAAAGAUUUAGCGGGUCCAGACAUUGAUUAUUCAGAACGCAUGAUGAGGCUGUCACAGAGUGGACCACAUUCAAGGUAUGAACCUAAAUUGCAUACGAAAAAUUCUGAAAAUAUGUUUAGGAAUUUAUGGUUACUAUCAGAUUCAUCCAUUGUAUCUGAGGUGUAAUAGUAACUUGAUUACAUGUAUUUAGGCCACUUUGCAGCAAGUUGGGUCGGGCAACACCUGUAGUCUACAUAACAGGGCAUCAUCAAGCAUGACAGAAAGACUGUCGGGAAGAGUUAAAGGUGG